CAAUACUACAGGUGACUCAAGAGCUGGUGUUGGGGAUGAGAGAAUGCAGGCCUUAAGCAGGGAGGAGAAUUGCCCAAGGCCACUCACCUGCUGCACUCAUUACUGGAAUAUCAGUCAAGACCGGAAGUCUUUGAUCCCCAUGAUCAAGAGGAACAUUUUCUAUCUUGACAAGUGUAAGCCACCACCUUUCUGAGGAAGUGUGGCAUAGUCUGGGUGAUCCCUAAAGAAGGCAGAGCUCCCUCCUCUCUGUGACUGGAAGUCUAGGUUGGAGCAGUGGGAAGCCAUUAAGAAGAGAAAGGAGGGAAUAAAGUAAGAUAGGUAAGAUACCUUUCUUCUCCCUUUCCUUCAAAUCUUUUUUUUUUUUUUUUAAUUUCACUUUACUUAGCACACAGUCACAGUCUGAGCCCUAUUCUUCUUCACAUUUUGUGAGAAAGUGUUUUUUUGUUCAGCAGAAAAUGGGAGCUCAAGGAGAUCCUGGAGCAGAGACAAGAACGCUCCACAAAUCUGGCAUGACAUUCCCUGUAUUUCCUGCCUGCUCCCAGUCAGCUGGGGCUGUAUGGUUCGCUCUGGCCAGUGGGCUAUGAGUGGAAGGUGAUGUGUGACAUCCUCCCUAUGGCACCAAGAAGCAAGUGGGACAACUUCACAAGUUACAUCUGCUGAGGUGAACCCUGGAGCCUUGUCUGUGAUGGUGGCUCACUAGCUCUAUGUGGCCUGGAUCCCUGAGACACUGUGUGGAGAACAGCUACCCUUGGAGUCCUUGGACCUGCAGAGGGUUUUGAAUGUGUAAAGAAUCAAUGUGUGUUUUCUUUCUUUUGUUUUUUAAAUGUGUUUUUUAUUAAGCCAUUGAAACUUUUUUUUUUAAAUUUUUAAGGAAAAUGAAUUUAAGUGGAUACCUUAAAUAGUAUAACUUUUAGUUUAAAAACAUUUACACAGCACUUUAUGAAGCAUAUUUUCAUAGAUAUUUCCUUUAAAGUUCACUGUGCUGAUAAGGUAAUUUUUCUUUCUUUUCACUUUUAUUUUGACUAAAUUUCAGGCUUCUAGAAAAAUUGUAAGAAGAGCACAAAGGAUUCCUGCAUACCCUUUACCCAGAUUGCCCAAAUAUUGCCAUUUUACUGCAUUGCUACUUUCCUCUCUCUCUCUCAGUCUCUCUCUCUCUCUGUCUCUCUCUCUCUAUAUAUAUAUAUAUAUACAUUUAUAUAUGAAGUAACUUUUUUCUGAACUGUUUGAGAGAAAGCUGCAGAUAUCAUGCCCCUUCAUCUAUAACUACUUCACUGUGUUCCCCAAA
rnacentral:lncRNA from 1 species